rnacentral:rRNA from 1 species
GCAUAACGCGAAGAACCUUACCUAAGCUUGACAUCCUUUUGACCGAUGCCUAAUCGCUAUUUUUCCCUUCGGGGACAGAAGUGACAGGUGGUGCAUGGUUGUCGUCAGCUCGUGUCGUGAGAUGUUGGGUUAAGUCCCGCAACGAGCGCAACCCUUGCUAUUAGUUGCUAACAGGUAGAGCUGAGCACUCUAAUGGGACUGCCCGUGACAAGCGGGAGGAAGGUGGGGCGACGUCAAAUCAUCAUGCCCCUUAUGUCCUGGGCCACACACGUAAUACAAUGGCGUUAAACAGAGGGAUGCUAAGCCGUGAGGUGGAGCGAACCCCUAAAAGGCGUCUCAGUUCGGAUUGCAGGCUGCAACUCGCCUGCAUGAAGUCGGAAUCGCUAGUAAUCGCGGAUCAGAAUGCCGCGGUGAAUACGUUCCCGGGUCUUGUACACACCG